UUAAUAAUAUAAGUCUGAAUAAACAGUGCGAAGAUAACAUACAAGCCUGACAUCGGGUGUCACUAGACAUGAGCAUCUACUACAACUGUCUAACUACCUCAAGACCAACAUGGUCGAGAAAAGUCACAAUUUAUACAUAAGGAAGAAUAAAGAGGGAGAAAGUAGAGUCGCGAUCGCCAGGUAGUUACCUUGCUAACUCUGAUGAAACUGCCACCAAGCUCAGAAAUGCC
rnacentral:lncRNA from 1 species